CCCGGAAAAAACGUGAGAAGUGUGCUUUGCUGAUCGCGGGAGCAGAGACGGAGCGAUAAGGCAAAUAUCUUCAGAAUCCUCGAUUAUAUUCUAGCGAUUUUACACUUCAUGCGUUUUAAAACCUGUACUGAAUUAAUAUCGGGUCAUAUUAAGAGCGGAGAUUAUUGGUUUUAACACAGAUGGUUCUUGAUUGAGAGUGCCGUGAAAAUUCCAUGCGGAUGUUAAUGGUAUGCGAAACCCUCCCGGCUUUGGUUGUUUUUUGUGAAGCACGAGAUGGUGAGCCACCCAAGAAACCCAAGAUAUUUGAGUCGAUUCGGAUCAUCAAAAGAGAGAUUCUGUUAAACAUUCUCCCAGCGAUAGUUGCCUUUAUGAGUGUGUCGAACAUCACUGACUAAAACGGUUUAUAUUGCUUUCAUUUACAUAAAUGACGGUGACCGCAUUACCGGUAUCUUGCACAAGAAAGUGUCGUUCAGUUUUGAGUUCACUGGAAAGUCAUGAGUGAGUACACAUUCAGUCAAGCAUGAAUAACAGUGUAAAAAGACUUGACUGAAUGUCAUUGGAGUAAACUGAAAUGGCUGUGCCGUCAGAAACUCAGGACGCACUGCAAAUCUAAAACGGUAUCAUCCACCGAGAUUUCCGGACUCAUUUGUCAGGUUUAGAUCUGGAUAAAUCAUGAGGAUUAAACCGUGCACGGAACACCCGAUUCUGCCUUUUCACUGAGGUUUUGUACCUUUUUAAUGCUGAAAUCAAAAACCUGCAAUACUUCGAUUAAUGAAGUGUGAACGUCAGCUGGGACCCUUAAGUGAGUGCUGAUGUGGUUUUUUUUAAGGGUACCCACACACAAAGAUCAAAUUUGCAUACACCUGUUGGGGCCUCAUUUAUAUGAUAAUAUAUCAUGAUAAUCUUUUAACGAGAUACUCACCGAAAUUGAACAGCGGGUUUUAACGAGGUUAAAAGGAUGUCGUUUAAUUUUAAAUUGCAGAA